rnacentral:misc_RNA from 1 species
GAUGAAGAACGCAGCGAAAUGCGAUAAGUAACGUGAAUUGCAGAAUUCAGUGAAUCAUCGAAUCUUUGAACGCACAUUGCGCCCCUUGGUAUUCCGAGGGGCAUGCCUGUUCGAGCGUCAUUUUGACCACUCCCGCUUGCGGGGUCUUGGGCCUUCGCCUCUGGGCGGGCCUUAAAAUCAGUGGCGGUGCCGUCCGGCUCUAAGCGUAGUAAAUCUCCUCGCUAUAGGGUUCCGGAGGGAUGCUGGCCAACAACCCCCAACUUUUAAGGUUGACCUCGGAUCAGGUAGGGAUACCCGCUGAACUUAAGCAUAUCAAUAAGCGGAGGA